rnacentral:misc_RNA from 1 species
CUUCGUUCUCGUCGAGUCUUCGUGUGCCUCGGUCGAAAAACAGGAACAGAAGAAUAUGGCCGCCGCCCGCCCGCCCGCCUACCGCGCGCCCAAGGGAUAGCUAAAGGCCGCGUAGAGGAGGGGGCGUUCGCCGGCGGGGAGGUCUGGCGGCCUCCAUACCUCGUCGUAAUGGUGGAUCUGCCCCUGGGCAACGACUGUCUAUGGAUGCAAUCAUGCAAGGCCGCCGCUUGGAGGUUCGCUGAAAUUGGAUUGCGGCCAGUAAUUUCAGAUUCGAGAAUACUGGUAGUGGUAGAUAGAGUAUGCAAAUUAUGGAUAACUAUUUGUGAUGAAAUUGUUUUCUUUCCUUUCCAAUCUUUAUUGAAAAGGUGACGACACUAUUUAUUUCAGUGGCUUGAUUCUAUCAUGGCUCUCCGAAGGCAUUAGACGAAUUGCUGUGUCCAAUAAAUGAAAUUCUAAUGAAAGGUCAUGCACCGCCGCAAUGACAAAAAAAAAAAAGAAGAAGGAACCGACUGCUUUACCGUACACAUGAUUGUUGAUCUACAUUUUUUACAUGUAACUGGUGGGAUUACAUAGAAAAAUAGCAAGUAAGGCCUAUUUAGGAACAAAGUUUUUGAAAACCACAUUUUUUGGAAUACUACAUUAUACUUUAGUCAUGACAAUAUCACAUUUUAA